rnacentral:lncRNA from 1 species
CCCACCGCAGAGACUUCGCCCUAUCUUGGGCUCAUCCUUCUAGCCAAGAGUCAGUCUCUCUCUCUCUCUCAAACACACACACACACAGGCACACUCGAAUGCACCUGUCUAACCCUUCAGUUGCAGCUCCACGCUCCACCUGAUAGGUCUUUUCAACCUUUGUCAAGUAUCUCAAGACAAGAAUUUCCCAAAGCCCUUCCCCCAAACCCAGGCUUUCCCGGGAGACCCCAGCCCGCUGGAGCAGCAAGAGGAGGCCGAGAGGGAGAGAAACCUCGGGCUCCCUCUGCAAACUUAACCUGCGCAUCGCCCGGAUCCGCGUCUGCGUCCGAGGACCCAGUCAAAGAAGAGUCAACAGCAGACUGGCGGUUGGAUAACUCAACACCAAUCCCAAUCCUCUCUUCCAAUACCAGUCUCCAGUACAGAGAUUCUCUGAUGCUCAAGAGGCUUGAGGCUAAGGCAUUGGGACCAGCACUGAAAAAGCUGCUUCCCUUGCUGUUAUUGACCAUGGCGUGACAUCAUCAUUCUUCAGAGUGACUGGGAUCUUGGACCCAAGGCCUGGAGGGAGUCAGCUUUUCUGCUGAAAGGUGAACACAGUUUUCUAGAUGGCUCUGAGGCCAGUUCAGUAUAGCUGCAUGAAAAAGAAUAGGAACACCUAUUCUUUCUCUUUAAAAACAUUCUUUAGAAGAACAGUAUAAAAGUAUGAUCCUAUGUACAAAAUUGGCUCUUUGUAUGCCAAAAAGAAAAUAUGUUUAGCCAGACAAGAUGCUUGGCUUUGUUACCCCAA